GACGAACGCUGGCGGCGUGCCUAACACAUGCAAGUCGAACGGGACCAGGGGCAACUCUGGUUCAGUGGCGGACGGGUGCGUAACACGUGAGGAACAUGACCUUCGGCGGGGAGUAGCCGGCCCAACGGCCGGGUAAUACCGCGUACGACCUUUCGGGACGAUCCCUGGAUGGUGAAAGCAGCAAUGCGCCGAUGGAGUGCCUCGCGGCCUAUCAGCUAGUUGGUGAGGUAACGGCNCACCAAGGCGACGACGGGUAGCUGGUCUGAGAGGAUGGCCAGCCACAUUGGGACUGAGACACGGCCCAGACUCCUACGGGAGGCAGCAGUGGGGAAUAUUGCGCAAUGGACGAAAGCCUGACGCAGCGACGCCGCGUGGGGAUGAAGGUC
rnacentral:rRNA from 1 species